GUGUCAGCCGCCGCGGUAAUACGAAGGGGGCUAGCGUUGCUCGGAUUCACUGGGCGUAAAGGGUGCGUAGGCGGGUCUUUAAGUCGGGGGUGAAAUCCUGGAGCUCAACUCCAGAACUGCCUUUGAUACUGAAGAUCUUGAGUUCGGGAGAGGUGAGUGGAACUGCGAGUGUAGAGGUGAAAUUCGUAGAUAUUCGCAAGAACACCAGUGGCGAAGGCGGCUCACUGGCCCGAUACUGACGCUGAGGCACGAAAGCGUGGGGAGCAAAUAGGAUUAGAAACCCAGGUAGUCC
rnacentral:rRNA from 1 species